rnacentral:rRNA from 1 species
AACGAACGCUGGCGGCAUGCCUAACACAUGCAAGUCGAACGAGACCUUCGGGUCUAGUGGCGCACGGGUGCGUAACGCGUGGGAACCGGCCCUUAGGUUCGGAAUAACUCCCCGAAAGGGGUGCUAAUACCGGAUAAUGUCUUCGGACCAAAGAUUUAUCGCCUUUGGAUGGGCCCGCGUUGGAUUAGCUAGUUGGGAGGGUAAAAGCCUACCAAGGCGACGAUCCAUAGCUGGGUUGAGAGGAUGAUCAGCCACACUGGGACUGAGAAACGGCCCAGACUCCUCCGGGAGGCAGCAGUGGGGAAUAUUGGACCAUGGGCGAAGGCCUGAUCCAGCAAUGCCGCGUGAGUGCUGAAGGCCUUAGGGUUGUAAAGCUCUUUUACCCGGGCUGAUAAUGACAGUACCGGGAGAAUAAGCUCCGGCUAACUACGUG